rnacentral:rRNA from 1 species
UACGUAGGGUGCAAGCGUUGUCCGGAAUUAUUGGGCGUAAAGAGCUUGUAGGCGGUUUGUCGCGUCUGCUGUGAAAUUUCGGGGCUCAACCCCGAACUUGCAGUGGGUACGGGCAGGACUAGAGUGUGGUAGGGGAGACUGGAAUUCCUGGUGUAGCGGUGAAAUGCGCAGAUAUCAGGAGGAACACCGAUGGCGAAGGCAGGUCUCUGGGCCAUAACUGACGCUGAGAAGCGAAAGCAUGGGGAGCGAACAGG